rnacentral:snRNA from 1 species
UUCUCGGCCUUUUGGCUAAGGUAAAGUGUAGUGU